rnacentral:rRNA from 1 species
UACGGAGGAUGCAAGCGUUAUCCGGAAUGAUUGGGCGUAAAGCGUCCGCAGGUGGCUGUGUAAGUCUGCUGUUAAAGAGUGAGGCUCAACCUCAUAAAAGCAGUGGAAACUACACGGCUAGAGUGCGUUCGGGGCAGAGGGAAUUCCUGGUGUAGCGGUGAAAUGCGCAGAUAUCAGGAAGAACACCGGUGGCGAAAGCGCUCUGCUAGGCCGCAACUGACACUGAGGGACGAAAGCUAGGGGAGCGAAUGGG